GACGAACGCUGGCGGCGUGCUUAACACAUGCAAGUCGAACGAGAAGUGAAGACGUAAACCGUCGGGCGAAGUGGUGUAUUGCGAGUUACGGCCGGGUUAGUAACGCCUGGGUACCCUGCCACAUACAGGGGCAUGACAGUUGUACACGAUGAGUAGUACCGCAUAAGACCAUAGGACCGCAUGGUGCGGGGGUAAAACGUGCGGUGGUAUGAUAUGGACCCGUGUUCGAUGAGGUAGGUGGAAGGGUAACCGCCCACCAAAGCGACGAUCGAUAGCCGAUCUGGGAGGAUGACCGGGCACAUUGGGACUGAGACACGGCCCAAACGCCGACGGGAGGCAGCAGUGGGGAAUAUUGCGCGAUGGGGGAAACCCUGGUGCAGCGGCGCCGCGUGAGUGAAGAAGUGUUUCGGUAUGUAAAGCUCUAUGAGCAGGGAAGAAAAUGACGUUACCUGAGGAAGAAGCACCGGCUAACUACGUG
rnacentral:rRNA from 1 species